rnacentral:rRNA from 1 species
AGAGUUUGAUCCUGGCUCAGGAUGAACGCUAGCGAUAGGCUUAACACAUGCAAGUCGAGGGGCAGCAUGAUCUUAGCUUGCUAAGGUUGAUGGCGACCGGCGCACGGGUGCGUAACGCGUAUGCAACUUGCCUUACAGAGGGGGAUAACCCGUUGAAAGACGGACUAAAACCGCAUACACUUGUAUUAUUGCAUGAUAUUACAAGGAAAUAUUUAUAGCUGUAAGAUAGGCAUGCGUCCCAUUAGCUAGUUGGUGAGGUAACGGCUCACCAAGGCGACGAUGGGUAGGGGAACUGAGAGGUUUAUCCCCCACACUGGUACUGAGACACGGACCAGACUCCUACGGGAGGCAGCAGUGAGGAAUAUUGGUCAAUGGGCGAGAGCCUGAACCAGCCAAGUCGCGUGAAGGAAGACAGUCCUAAGGAUUGUAAACUUCUUUUAUACGGGAAUAACGGGCGAUACGAGUAUUGCAUUGAAUGUACCGUAAGAAUAAGCAUCGGCUAACUCCGUGCCAGCAGCCGCGGUAAUACGGAGGAUGCGAGCGUUAUCCGGAUUUAUUGGGUUUAAAGGGUGCGUAGGUUGUUCGGUAAGUCAGCGGUGAAACCUGAGCGCUCAACGUUCAGCCUGCCGUUGAAACUGCCGGGCUUGAGUUCAGUGGCGGCAGGCGGAAUUCGUGGUGUAGCGGUGAAAUGCAUAGAUAUCACGAGGAACUCCGAUUGCGAAGGCAGCUUGCCAUACUGCGACUGACACUGAAGCACGAAGGCGUGGGUAUCAAACAGGAUUAGAUACCCUGGGUAGUCCACGCAGUAAACGAUGAUUACUAGGAGUUUGCGAUAUACCGUCAAGCUUCCACAGCGAAAGCGUUAAGUAAUCCACCUGGGGAGUACGCCGGCAACGGUGAAACUCAAAGGAAUUGACGGGGGCCCGCACAAGCGGAGGAACAUGUGGGUUUAAUUCGAUGAUACGCGAGGAACCUUACCCGGGAUUGAAAUGUAGAUGACUUCCCUUCGGGGCGUCUAUGUAGGUGCUGCAUGGUUGUCGUCAGCUCGUGCCGUGAGGUGUCGGCUUAAGUGCCAUAACGAGCGCAACCCACAUCGGUAGUUGCUAACAGU